GAUGAACGCUGGCGGCGUGCUUAACACAUGCGAGUCGAACGAUGAAGCUCAGCUUGCUGGGUGGAUUAGUGGCGAACGGGUGAGUAACACGUGAGUAACCUGCCCUUAACUCUGGGAUAAGCCUGGGAAACUGGGUCUAAUACCGGAUAGGAGCGUCCACCGCAUGGUGGGUGUUGGAAAGAUUUAUCGGUUUUGGAUGGACUCGCGGCCUAUCAGCUUGUUGGUGAGGUAAUGGCUCACCAAGGCGACGACGGGUAGCCGGCCUGAGAGGGUGACCGGCCACACUGGGACUGAGACACGGCCCAGACUCCUACGGGAGGCAGCAGUGGGGAAUAUUGCACAAUGGGCGCAAGCCUGAUGCAGCGACGCCGCGUGAGGGAUGACGGCCUUCGGGUUGUAAACCUCUUUCAGUAGGGAAGAAGCGAAAGUGACGGUACCUGCAGAAGAAGCACCGGCUAACUACGUG
rnacentral:rRNA from 1 species